UAGGCAGAUGCCAAGGUUCCGGAUGCGCAAGCAGCUCACGAAAAAACCUUAACACUCAUGCUACCAGUACUGCAAGCUGAUGGCAGAAGAAUUUACGGAUUUG
rfam:Candidate divison MSBL1 archaeon SCGC-AAA382A03 AAA382A03_Contig_1_C, whole genome shotgun sequence.